GAGAGGGAGGUGAAUCCAGAAAGUAGAUCUCCUGCCCUUGAGAUGGGAACAGACUCAAACAUUAUUCUUUUCCAUCAGGAUCAAACCUGGUUUUUCCUGAUCUAAGAAAGGCAUCCGAGGUCAUUUCCAAUGCUUCCUUUGUCCUUAUAAUUCAGAAAUAAUGUUUUCCAAAGCAGACAGCUCUCUGGAUUUGAAUCCCUAGUCAGGGAUGGUGGCUCAUGUGUUUAAUCCCAAGACUGGGGAGACUGAAACAAAAGAAUCAAGUUUGAGGUCAACUUGGGCAACAUAAUGAGACCUUGUUUCAAGUCCAAAAAGCAAGGAUGCUGGAGAAAUGGCUUAGCGGUUUAGAACACUGGCUGCUCUUCCAGAGGACCCAGGUUCAAUUCUCAGCACCCACAAGGCAGCUUACAAUUGUCUGUAACUCCAAUUCCAAGGGAUCUGACACCCUCACACAGACAUACAUGCAGGCAAAACAUAAAUCAAUGCUCAUACAAUAAAAAUAAAUACGUUUUUUAGAAAGAAAAAAAACCAAAAAUCUCACAGUCCAUUUCAAAAUAACAAAACAACCCUCCAGCCUACCCCCAUUUUAUUUCAUUGGAAGCAGUCCAGGUUCAAGGUCUAGUUGGAGCAGGGACUGUCUCCUCUCCAGGUAUGUUUCUGGACAGGCAGAGAGCAAAGUCUCUUCUCUGAACUGGCAGGUUGGGGCUCUGGUUACAGAGAGCUCUGGAGAGAACCAGCCACUGCAGCGUCUAGUGGGAUCCAGUCCAGGCUCUGUCCUCAUGAUCUCCAGGAAUCUUGACCCUUAGAUUAAGUUUGAUACAGGAGGAAGUUGGGACCAAGAAGCAAACUGAGUUCACAAAACACAGAAGACGAAUGAAAGUUAAGCCAGAGUCUAAAACUCCACAGCCCCAUGAAGCACCUGCAAAGCCUGGAAAUGGAAACUUGAAUGACCUGGCAAGUGAGCUUGGGCUGAAGAGUCAGCCAUGAUCACCAAGAGACUGGCACCACUGAAGUGAAGCUUUUGUGUCACUGGGACAAUUGAUGCUGGUCAGCUGGAGCUAAGAAAUUAGCAGAUUAAGAAGAGACCAGCAUCGCCGAGGCGAACUCUUCCGGGAAGUGUUUCUUCUUCAGGGUGAGCACACACAAGCUGUGUUCUAGAACUGGGGGAGGCGGUCGGACUGGGUAGUGGAAGAGUCUCCCAGGUGGUCCUGGUUGUGAAGGCAUGAAGGGUCAUGGAGAGCAGCUGAGGCUGGGCACUGUGAGAGGCCAGAAGAGGCCAUUAGGGAGGGUGCAGCCUCCCUGGCGGCUGAAGACCCAGGACUGAGGGGGUCCUGCAGAGAAGCUGAGGCUUGGCAUCAUGAGGAGAGUCUAUGAGAGGCUGUUGGGGAAGUGCAGCCCAGGUGCAGCAGGAGACCCUGGUGUUCUGGAGCUACCAGUCCCAUGGGACGAGCAGGAAGAGCAGCAUCGGGGGAGUGAGCCGGCCGGAACCUAGAAGACAAGCUGUGUGCUGCAAGGGGCAGAUCCUGAGAAGGGACCCAAGCCGCUUGGAGGAGUCCAGAAGGUUGUGAGUGGGUCCCACACAUUGGGCAGUGGUAGUUUGAUUUUGUUUUCCUUCUUGAAGACAGUACUUAAUUUUUGUUUUGUUUUGUUUAUUGGUGCCCACAGUUGAGAAACUGUAAACUUUUUUUUUUCUCUGUGCAACCCUGGCUAUCCUGCAGUUUCCUCUGUAAGCCAGGCUGGCCUUGAACUUGGAGACCUGCCUUUCUCUGUCUCCUGAGUGCGAGGAUGAAAAGUGUGUACACCAUUACUGGUGGUACUUUAAAAUUAGUUAAAAACAAACAAAACAGAGAGAGAUAGGGGUUUUACAGAGAUUUUGGAGACUCAAUAGUUUUGUUUGCUUGCUUGCUUUUUCUUGUUAGUUUGUUUUGUUUGUUUGAGACAGGGUUUCUCUCUGUAGCCUUGGCUGUCCUGGAUAGCCUGUGCAAUCCACCUACCUUUGCCUCCUGGAGUGCUGGGUGGGAUCCACUGUGCCCAGCAGGCAGACCUCUGAUUCCAGCUAGCCUGAUCUGCAGAGUGAGUUCCAGGAUAGCGGAGGCUACACAGAGAAACCCUGUCUUAAAAAACCAAAACCUGAAGACCCAAAAACCCCAAUAACAACAAAACAAUAACAUCCAAAGCAAACAAACAAAAAUAAAACAUCAACUUUUGUGUUUGGUGGUAUAGACCUUUAAUCCCAGGAUGUGAGAGCAUAAAAGAGGGUUGUCAGGAGUUUGAAACCAGCCUCGGCUGCACAGACUGUUUUAGGCUAGUCGAUACCAUGAAGUAAGAGAUACUGUCUCAGCAAACCAAAUAUCAAAAGAGAAAAACCAAACAGACAAAACCCUCCAGUGCAGGGCUGGGAAAUGGCUCAGCGGAGUGGGCCAGAGUGCUUACAGUUCUUGCAGAGACCUAGAGUUGGCUCCCAGCACCUACAUGUCAGCUCACAAACAUCUUUAACUUCAGUUGUAGGGGAUCUUGAAUGCACAUGGUGCAUAGAAGCUCACAAACAAAAAUGAGUUUUUUUAAAAAAAUUAACAAUGGUACUUGGGGGGCAGAAGCUGGCAGAUCUCUAUGAGUUCAAGGCCAGCUUGGUCUACACAGCGAGUUGCAGGACAGCCAGGGCUGCACAGAGAAACCCUGUCUUGAACCCCAACUGUUAGCAAUCAGGCAUCUCCACAGCUAGCCCCAGGGACCCAGCGACAGCAGGGUACAUCAUCACUAACUGCUGAGAGGAGGCACAUUCCGGCUGUCUCCAGGAGACACAUACCUUCCCCUGCGCAUGCGCUGUAUCCCCUUAUAAACGGCCUACUUCCCUCCCCCUCUUUCCUUCUACCCUCCUUCAGAGGCAGCAUCUAUAUGUCCCCUCCAAGUAAACCUCGCAUGUGAGAUCUGUCGCAUGAUCUAACUUUAUGCCAUCCGUGGUUUGGAUGAUAACACCGCCUCCCCCCCCCAAAAAAAAAAAUAAAUAAAAAACCAACUAAAAAUUAACAAACUCAAGUACGCACAUGGGUGGGGGAUGGACUAGCAGAAGAGGAGCGGUAACUCACUAGGAAGCCUGGCCAUUAUUGUCUGGCAAGCGCAGAGACACCUGGCCUGCAAUAAGCUGGACUCCUCUCCGGGUCCCAGGCUGGCUGACAGCUGUGGAA